rnacentral:rRNA from 1 species
GACGAACGCUGGCGGCGUGCUUAACACAUGCAAGUCGAACGCCGAAGCACCAGCUUGCUGGUGUGGAUGAGUGGCGAACGGGUGAGUAAUACGUGAGUAACCUGCCCCUGACUCUGGGAUAAGCCCGGGAAACUCGGUCUAAUACUGGAUGCUACAUGUUAACGCAUGGUGGUGUGUGGAAAGGGUUUACUGGUCUUGGGUGAGCUCACGGCCUAUCAGCUCGUUGGCGAGUUGAUGGGUUACCGACGUGACAACGGGACGCCGGACAGAGGGAGUGACAGGCCGCACUGGGACUGAGACAAGGCCCAGGCACCGACGGGGGGGAGCAGGGGGGAAGAUUGAACAAGGGGCGAAAGCCGGGUGAAGAGGGGCGGCGGGAGGGAUAACGGUCUUCGUAUUGUAGACCACUUUCAGAAGGAAAGAAGCCACGAGUGACGGUACCUGCAGAAAAAGCGACGGCUAACUACGUG